GCUCCUGUAGCCCAAUUGGUAGAGGCGAUCGGCUCAAACCCGAUUUACGUGUGAGUUCAAAUCUCACCGGGAGCACCA
rnacentral:tRNA from 2 species